UAUUCAAGCCACGCCAUGGCUAAAGCAGAAGACAAAAGAGAUGAGAAAAAGAAAUUGGACCAAAUCUGUAGAGUCAAAUGAUACACGACCUGAAGAAGUAAAACCAUCAACCUUGUUGAAUCUAACUUAUUUGUUUUUCAAAGAUCUUAAUCUUAGAUGAUGGACAGAUUUAAGUUUACGGACGGUGCACUGUUUUGGGCGGCACAACAGUGACGGUAAGAACUAAGAAUUUGGUGCUGAACGAGGAGAGAGAAUGAAGUAAAUUAGUGAGAGAGAAAAUUCAUGUGUUGUGAGACCAUUAAGGAACAUUUUAAUCCAAAGGAGAAAGUUAGUCUUGCACCGUGAAAGACUUAAUCAACUAUUUCACCAUAGCACUCGCCCACAUCAACAUUCAAAAAAUUAUUUAUUAAUAUAUAUUAAAUAUUAUAAUUAUAAUUUUUAGCAAAAGAUUGUGUACACUUGCUUCUUAAAGUUAAUGUACACGUACUUAACCUAUAAAUUAUCAACACAAAAAAAAACAAAAAAACUUCUCUUGUCACAUCUUUUCUCCUUCCAUCAACAGUAUCCGUACUAGUCAAAAAAAUCAUAAGUACGAAUACUAUCCUUAUUUUCUUGGUAAGAGACUACCCUACAAAUUUAUUUUUUUGGUAUGACUAUGAUCUUUAUACCCUACAAUUUCCUACUACUCAGGCAAGUACAAUACCCUCUUAUUCCUCAAUUUGGUACUAGUAGUAAUGUUCAGCAUUUUUCAAAAAUUAAAUUAAAUUGAAAAACUCCACAAUGAAACUUCAGUAUCAGUAUCACCACCAAAUUCCACGUCAGCAAUAUCAUAUUCACAUUCACUCCCCCAAUAAUGCGCCGGUGACAUUAGUACCAUGUUUCUUAAAUAC
rnacentral:lncRNA from 1 species